UAUAUAUUAAUGUUAAUUGCAUAAAAAUUUUUGAAGUUUUAAGAAAUAAUUAAAUUUAUUAUAUAUAU
rnacentral:tRNA from 1 species